UGAACGCGAAAAGAGGUUGCAAGAGCAAGCUAAGAAGAUUGAAAACUUGAGUUCAAUGGUGUUGUACUCAAAUAGGGAUGAGAAUCGUGAUCAGCCCAAGAAGGGGAAGAGGCGUGAUACCUGGUGCUUUGGUAAUCUUUCAAGGGAGACUCUUGGGGAAUUGAAUUCAAUAGUCCAUGCAAAGGCAUCUGCUGU